AAGGAUUUAAGUUAAAAAAACUAAUAACCUUCAAAGUUAUCAAUAGAUUAUAUCUAAGCCUUA
rnacentral:tRNA from 1 species